GCUUUAUAUUUGGUAUUGUGUUUAAGGAUACGAGCCAAACUAUGUAAAUUGAAGUUAUUUUUACUCGGAAAAAGUACACCAAAGGUCCCUCAACUUGUCAUCGGGAUACAAAAACAUUCUCGAACAGCAAAACCAGAUAUAUGGGGUCCC
rnacentral:misc_RNA from 1 species